CCUACGGGAGGCAGCAGUGGGGAAUAUUGGACAAUGGGCGCAAGCCUGAUCCAGCAAUGCCGCGUGUGUGAAGAAGGGCCUUCGGGUUGUAAAGCACUUUAGGCAGGGAAGAAAAAAUCGGCGAUAACAUCGCCGAUCUUGACGGUACCUGAGGAAUAAGCACCGGCUAACUCUGUGCCAGCAGCCGCGGUAAUACAGAGGGUGCAAGCGUUAAUCGGAUUUACUGGGCGUAAAGCGUGUGUAGGUGGUUAGAAAAGUCGAUUGUGAAAUCCCUGGGCUCAACCCGGGAACUGCUUUCGAGACUGUUUGACUAGAAUUCGGUAGAGGGAGGCGGAACUCCAGGUGUAGCGGUGAAAUGCGUAGAUAUCUGGAAGAACACCAAUGGCGAAGGCAACCUCCUGGGCCUGAAUUGACACUGAGACACGAAAGCGUGGGGAUCAAACAGGAUUAGAUACCCUGGUAGUCCACGCCGUAAACGAUGAGAACUUGACGUCGGUUUGCUCUGCGAAUCGGUGUCGUAGCUAACGCGAUAAGUUCNCCGCCUGGGGAUCGGCCGCAAGGUUGAAACUCAAAGAGUAGUGACCGUGNGAGAGACGACGACGACGACGAGGAGGGAGGAGG
rnacentral:rRNA from 1 species